AUGAGCUCCUUCGCCGGCUCACUGAUCGUCUCCGUGCUGAGUUUGCCAUCAAGGACUUGGGUCUGUUACACUACUUCCUCGGUGUUGAGGUGGUGCGCCGUCCUGAUGGUUUCUUCCUUAAUCAACGGAAGUAUGCUCAUGAACUCCUCGACCGUGCUGGGAUGCUUAACUGCAAACCGGCCGCCACGCCUGUUGACACGAAGGCCAAGCUCUCCACUACCGAUGGUACUCUCGCUCCGGAUGCUGCCUUCUACCGGUCCAUUGUCGGUGCUCUCCAGUACCUCACUCUCACUCGGCCAGAGCUUCAGUACGCGGUUCAGCAGGUCUGUCUGCAUAUGCAUGCUCCUCGAGAUGUUCACUGGACUGUCGUUAAGCGGAUUCUUCGCUACAUCCACGGUGAUAUGGAUCUUGGUCUUACUCUGCGCGCCUCCACUGCCACUGAUCUGGUCGCCUACUCCGACGGCGACUGGGCUGGCUGCCCGGACACCCGUCGCUCUACUUCGGAUUACUGCAUCUUCCUUGGACCGUCCCUGGUGUCGUGGUCGUCCAAGCGGCAGCCCACCGUCUCGCGGUCUAGCGCAGAGGCUGAGUACCGCGCUGUGGCUAACGUUGUUGCUGAGUGUUCCUGACUUCGUCAGCUUCUUCGCGAGCUCUCGUGUCCUGUUGAGAAGGCCACGAUCGUCUACUACGACAAUGUCUCCGUCGUCUACCUCUCCGCCAACCCGGUUCAUCAUCGUCGCACCAAGCACAUUGAGCUUGAUAUCCAUUCUGUUCGGGAUCAGGUGGCUCUUGGCCAUGUUUGUGUUCUAUACGUACCCACCUCCCAACAAUGAACAAUUUGCCGACAUCAUGACCAAAGGCUUGCCUACGACGUCUUUCAAGGAAUUCCGGUCCAGUCUUUGUGUCAGCAACGGUGUCGCUUCGACUGCGGGGGGUGUUGAGAUAUGUAUUUAG
rnacentral:rRNA from 1 species